CCUUGCUCUGGGCGGGGAGCAUAUGCUUGGCCACUGCACUGGGUCUGGCAUGCCACCACAGUGUCGCCAGCUUCUUCUCCCUGGUGACCUUGGUGAUGUUUAUAUUCGCCGCAUGAUUUAAAUACAAAAUGAGCCAUCCCAUUACUUUCUGGCCAAAUGUGUGCUCAUGGCUUUUCUGCUUGCAGGUUUGUUCAGAAAGUUUUUGCAACUGACAGGAGGCCACGGAGAAUAGUUAGACUUGUUCGUAG
rnacentral:lncRNA from 1 species